rnacentral:rRNA from 1 species
GAUGAACGCUGGCGGCGUGCCUAAUACAUGCAAGUCGAGCGAACGGACGAGAAGCUUGCUUCUCUGAUGUUAGCGGCGGACGGGUGAGUAACACGUGGAUAACCUACCUAUAAGACUGGGAUAACUUCGGGAAACCGGAGCUAAUACCGGAUGAUAUUUUGAACCGCAUGGUUCAAAAGUGAAAGACGGUCUUGCUGUCACUUAUAGAUGGAUCCGCGCUGCAUUAGCUAGUUGGUAAGGUAACGGCUUACCAAGGCAACGAUGCAUAGCCGACCUGAGAGGGUGAUCGGCCACCCUGGAACUGAGACACGGUCCAGACUCCUACGGGAGGCAGCAGUAGGGAAUCUUCCGCAAUGGGCGAAAGCCUGACGGAGCAACGCCGCGUGAGUGAUGGAGGUCUUCGGAUCGUAAAACUCUGUUAUUAGGGAAGAACAUAUGUGUAAGUAACUGUGCACAUCUUGACGGUACCUAAUCAGAAAGCCACGGCUAACUACGUG